rnacentral:rRNA from 1 species
CGACGGUUUUGUCCUUCGGGAGGAAGAGCGGCGUACGGGUGCGGACACGUGUGCACCUGCCUUUAUCUGGGGGAUAGCCUUUCGAAAGGAAGAUUAAUACCCCAUAACAUAUGAUACGGCAUCGUAUUAUAUUGAAAACUCCGGUGGAUAGAGAUGGGCACGCGCAAGAUUAGAUAGUUGGUGAGGUAACGGCUCACCAAGUCAGUGAUCUUUAGGGGGCCUGAGAGGGUGAUCCCCCACACUGGUACUGAGACACGGACCAGACUCCUACGGGAGGCAGCAGUGAGGAAUAUUGGACAAUGGGUGAGAGCCUGAUCCAGCCAUCCCGCGUGAAGGACUAAGGCCCUAUGGGUUGUAAACUUCUUUUAUACUGGGAAAACCUACUUACGUGUAAGUAGCUGAGGACAGUAUGAUAAGCACCGGCUAACUCG